UACGUAGAAGACUAGUGUUAUUCAUCUUUAAUAGGUUUUAAAGGGUCCUAGACGGUUAUAAUUUAGUCUUUAAACAGGAUACGAUUUAUACUUAGAGUUAUAUAUGAGGAGGUGAGUAUUUAUGCAGUAGAGUUGAAAUUCGUUUGAUAGCAUAACGACUGGUAACGGCGAAAAGCAACCUUUUUUAUCUAAUAACUGACGUUGAGGGACGAAGGCUCGGGGUAACGAACAGG
rnacentral:rRNA from 1 species